UACAGAGGGGGCAAGCGUUGUUCGGAAUUACUGGGCGUAAAGGGCGCGUAGGCGGCGUGACAAGUCACUUGUGAAAUCUCCGGGCUUAACUCGGAACGGUCAAGUGAUACUGUUGUGCUAGAGUACAGAAGGGGCAAUCGGAAUUCUUGGUGUAGCGGUGAAAUGCGUAGAUAUCAAGAGGAACACCAGAGGCGAAGGCGGAUUGCUGGGCUGAUACUGACGCUGAGGCGCGAAAGCUAGGGUAGCAAACGGG
rnacentral:rRNA from 1 species